CUGCGGGGAUGAUCACCCUGAACUCUCUCUUGCUGAUGGGUCAGUGAAGUUUCUGGUUUUCGGUCUGAGUAGC
rnacentral:snoRNA from 1 species